rnacentral:rRNA from 1 species
CUCGAGGCCAGAUCUAGAGUUUGAUCCUGGCUGAGAUUGAACGCUGGCGGCAUGCCUUACACAUGCAAGUCGAACGGCAGCAUAGGGGCUUGCUCCUGAUGGCGAGUGGCGAACGGGUGAGUAAUAUAUCGGAACGUGCCCUAGAGUGGGGGAUAACUAGUCGAAAGACUAGCUAAUACCGCAUACGAUCUACGGAUGAAAGUGGGGGAUCGCAAGACCUCAUGCUCCUGGAGCGGUCGAUAUCUGAUUAGCUAGUUGGUGGGGUAAAAGCCUACCAAGGCGACGAUCAGUAGCUGGUCUGAGAGGACGACCAGCCACACUGGGACUGAGACACGGCCCAGACUCCUACGGGAGGCAGCAGUGGGGAAUUUUGGACAAUGGGGGCAACCCUGAUCCAGCAAUGCCGCGUGAGUGAAGAAGGCCUUCGGGUUGUAAAGCUCUUUUGUCAGGGAAGAAACGGUAGUAGCUAAUAUCUAUUACUAAUGACGGUACCUGAAGAAUAAGCACCGGCUAACUACGUGCCAGCAGCCGCGGUAAUACGUAGGGUGCAAGCGUUAAUCGGAAUUACUGGGCGUAAA